CCAGCCACACUGGAACUGAGACACGGUCCAGACUCCUACGGGAGGCAGCAGUGGGGAAUUUUGGACAAUGGACGCAAGUCUGAUCCAGCCAUUCCGCGUGCAGGACGAAGGCCUUCGGGUUGUAAACUGCUUUUGUACAGAACGAAAAGGUCUCUAUUAAUACUAGGGGCUCAUGACGGUACUGUAAGAAUAAGCACCGGCUAACUACGUGCCAGCAGCCGCGGUAAUACGUAGGGUGCAAGCGUUAAUCGGAAUUACUGGGCGUAAAGCGUGCGCAGGCGGUUAUGUAAGACAGAGGUGAAAUCCCCGGGCUCAACCUGGGAACUGCCUUUGUGACUGCAUAGCUGGAGUGCGGCAGAGGGGGACGGAAUUCCGCGUGUAGCAGUGAAAUGCGUAGAUAUGCGGAGGAACACCGAUGGCGAAGGCAAUCCCCUGGGCCUGCACUGACGCUCAUGCACGAAAGCGUGGGGAGCAAACAGGAUUAGAUACCCUGGUAGUCCACGCCCUAAACGAUGUCAACUGGUUGUUGGGUCUUCACUGACUCAGUAACGAAGCUAACGCGUGAAGUUGACCG
rnacentral:rRNA from 1 species